rnacentral:rRNA from 1 species
UACGUAGGGUGCGAGCGUUGUCCGGAAUUACUGGGCGUAAAGAGCUCGUAGGCGGUGUGUCGCGUCGGCCGUGAAAACCUGGGGCUCAACUCUGGGCGUGCGGUCGAUACGGGCAUCACUUGAGUUCGGCAGGGGAGACUGGAAUUCCUGGUGUAGCGGUGAAAUGCGCAGAUAUCAGGAGGAACACCGGUGGCGAAGGCGGGUCUCUGGGCCGAUACUGACGCUGAGGAGCGAAAGCGUGGGGAGCGAACAGG